ensembl:piRNA 21ur-3150 ncRNA
UAUUACAAAGUUGCUUCAAUG